UGAUUGUCCAAACGCAGUUCUUG
rnacentral:miRNA from 1 species